rnacentral:rRNA from 1 species
CCUACGGGAGGCAGCAGUGGGGAAUUUUGGACAAUGGGCGCAAGCCUGAUCCAGCCAUUCCGCGUGAGUGAAGAAGGCCUUCGGGUUGUAAAGCUCUUUCGCAAGGGAAGAAAACUUAGAUACUAAUAUUAUCUGAGGUUGACGGUACCUUGAUAAGAAGCACCGGCUAACUACGUGCCAGCAGCCGCGGUAAUACGUAGGGUGCGAGCGUUAAUCGGAAUUACUGGGCGUAAAGCGUGCGCAGGCGGUUUUGUAAGUCAGAUGUGAAAUCCCCGAGCUCAACUUGGGAACUGCGUUUGAAACUACAAGACUAGAAUAUGUCAGAGGGGGGUAGAAUUCCACGUGUAGCAGUGAGAUGCGUAGAGAUGUGGAGGAAUACCAAUGGCGAAGGCAGCCCCCUGGGAUAAUAUUGACGCUCAUGCACGAAAGCGUGGGGAGCAAACAGGAUUAGAUACCCUGGUAGUCCACGCCCUAAACGAUGUCUACUAGUUGUUGGUGGAAGUAAAACUCCAUGAGUAACCGCGAGACGUACGACGUGAAGUAGACCGCCGUCGGGUAGGUACGGUUCGGCGAAGAAGUUAAACGUUAACAAUUAGAGUUAGUUACGGGCGUUGAGGACGUUGCCGACGGACGACGACGAGGGGAGGUUAGG